rnacentral:rRNA from 1 species
UCGAGAAUUUUUCUCAAUGGGGGAAACCCUGAAGGAGCGACGCCGCGUGAAGGAUGAAGGUCUUCGGAUCGUAAACUUCUGUCAUUGGAGAACAAUUGUACGGGGAGUAACUGCCCUGUGCUUGAUAGUACCUGAAGAGGAAGGGACGGCUAACUCUGUGCCAGCAGCCGCGGUAAUACAGAGGUCCCAAGCGUUGUUCGGAUUCAUUGGGCGUAAAGGGUGCGUAGGCGGUAUCGUAAGUCGGAUGUGAAAUCUCGGAGCUCAACUCCGAAACUGCAUUCGAUACUGCGGUGCUAGAGGACUGGAGAGGAGAUUGGAAUUCACGGUGUAGCAGUGAAAUGCGUAGAUAUCGUGAGGAAGACCAGUGGCGAAGGCGGAUCUCUGGACAGUUCCUGACGCUGAGGCACGAAGGCCAGGGGAGCAAACGGG